GAUGAACGCUAGCUACAGGCUUAACACAUGCAAGUCGAGGGGUAACGAGAGGAAAGCUUGCUUUCCUUGUCGACGACCGGCGCACGGGUGAGUAACGCGUAUCCAACCUGCCCCCAACUAGGGAAUAGCCUUGCGAAAGUAAGACUAAUACCCUAUAAUUUCCUCAGAUGUCAUCUGACGAGGAAUAAAGAUUUAUCGGUUGUGGAUGGGGAUGCGUCUGAUUAGCUUGUUGGCGGGGUAAAGGCCCACCAAGGCAACGAUCAGUAGGGGUUCUGAGAGGAAGGUCCCACACAUUGGAACUGAGACACGGUCCAAACUCCUACGGGAGGCAGCAGUGAGGAAUAUUGGUCAAUGGGCGGAAGCCUGAACCAGCCAAGUAGCGUGCAGGAUGACGGCCCUAUGGGUUGUAAACUGCUUUUAUACAGGAAUAAAGUUAGCCACGUGUGGUUAUUUGUAGGUACUGUAUGAAUAAGGACCGGCUAAUUCCGUGCCAGCCGCCGCGGUAA
rnacentral:rRNA from 1 species